rnacentral:rRNA from 1 species
UUGGAGGGCAAGUCUGGUGCCAGCAGCCGCGGUAAUUCCAGCUCCAAUAGCGUAUAUUAAAGUUGUUGCAGUUAAAAAGCUCGUAGUUGAAUUUUAGUCCUGGCCGGGCGGUCCGUCUUUGGCGAGUACUGUCCUGUGUCGGGUCUUCCUUCUGGUGAACCAGCAUGUCCUUUAUUGGGUGUGCCGGGGAGCCAGGACCAUUACCUUGAAAAAAUUAGAGUGUUUAAAGCGGGCAUUUGCUUGAAUAGAUUAGCAUGGAAUAAUAGAAUAGGACGUUGUGGUUCUAUUUUGUUGGUUUCUAGGACCACCGUAAUGAUUAAUAGGGAUAGUUGGGGGCAUUAGUAUUCAAUUGUCAGAGGUGAAAUUCUUGGAUUUAUUGAAGACUAACUACUGCGAAAGCAUUUGCCAAGGAUGGUUUCAUUAAUCAAGAACGAAAGUUAGGGGAUCGAAGACGAUCAGAUACCGUCGUAGUCUUAACCAUAAACUAUGCCGACUAGGAAUCGGGCGACGUUAUUUUCAUGACUCGUUCGGCGCCUUACGGGAAAC